rnacentral:rRNA from 1 species
UACGUGGGAGUGCAAGCGUUGUCCGGAAUUAUUGGGCGUAAAGAGCUCGUAGGCGGUCUGUCGCGUCUGCUGUGAAAACUCAGGGCUUAACCCUGAGCUUGCAGUGGGUACGGGCAGACUAGAGUGCGGUAGGGGAGACUGGAAUUCCUGGUGUAGCGGUGAAAUGCGCAGAUAUCAGGAAGAACACCCGUGGCGAAGGCGGCUCUCUGGAACGCAAACUGACGCUGAAGACGCGAAAGCGUGGGGAGCAAACAGG